CGGCCCGGCUCGCCACCCCGCGCCUCCCGGAGCGCCCGUCGGGGACCGCUGGCGCCUCCCGCGGGGAGUCCUCUCCCACGCGUCACCCGCAGCGGCUAGGGGGACCCUGGGACGUGCGGGGUCGCGAGGCCGAUCCGGGCGCCCCCCAGUGGCCAGCGCCGGCCCCUAUGGCUGGGCCGCGCGGAGCCGAGCGGGCAAGGUGAAUCCAGCCCUGGGGCCGGCAGCCGUGGCGCUUGGCGGCGGCGCCGGCUCCAUGGGCAGCGGCGCUGGGAAGGAUGAUGGACGUUAACAGCAGCGGCCGCCCCGACCUCUAUGGGCAUCUCCGCUCGCUCAUUCUGCCGGAGGUGGGGCGCGGGCUGCAGGACCUGAGCCCCGACGGUGGCGCCCACCCUGUAGUGAGCUCCUGGAUGCCGCACCUGCUGAGCGGCUUCCCAGAGGUGACGGCUAGCCCUGCUCCCACCUGGGACGCGCCCCCGGACAAUGUCUCCGGCUGCUGGGAGCAGAUCAACUAUGGCAGAGUCGAGAAAGUUGUGAUCGGCUCCAUCCUGACGCUCAUCACGCUGCUGACGAUCGCGGGCAACUGCCUAGUGGUGAUCUCGGUGUGCUUCGUCAAGAAGCUCCGCCAGCCCUCCAACUACCUGAUUGUGUCCCUGGCGCUGGCUGACCUCUCGGUGGCUGUGGCGGUCAUGCCUUUCGUUAGUGUCACCGACCUCAUUGGGGGCAAGUGGAUCUUUGGCCACUUCUUCUGUAACGUCUUCAUCGCCAUGGACGUCAUGUGUUGCACGGCCUCGAUCAUGACCCUGUGCGUGAUCAGCAUCGACAGGUACCUUGGGAUCACGAGGCCCCUCACGUACCCCGUGAGGCAGAACGGGAAAUGCAUGGCCAAAAUGAUCCUGUCGGUCUGGCUUCUCUCUGCCUCCAUCACCUUACCUCCGCUCUUUGGCUGGGCUCAGAACGUGAACGAUGACAAAGUAUGCUUGAUCAGCCAGGAUUUCGGCUACACCAUCUACUCCACCGCAGUGGCAUUUUAUAUCCCCAUGUCGGUCAUGCUGUUCAUGUACUAUCAGAUUUACAAGGCUGCCAGGAAGAGUGCGGCCAAACACAAGUUCCCAGGCUUCCCGCGCGUGCAGCCGGAGAGUGUCAUUUCCCUCAACGGUGUGGUGAAGCUCCAGAAGGAAGUGGAAGAGUGCGCGAACCUUUCGAGACUGCUCAAACAUGAAAGGAAAAACAUUUCCAUCUUCAAGAGGGAACAGAAAGCGGCCACCACCUUGGGGAUCAUCGUAGGAGCCUUCACUGUGUGCUGGCUGCCGUUUUUCCUCUUGUCGACAGCAAGGCCCUUUAUUUGCGGCACCUCCUGCAGCUGCAUUCCACUGUGGGUGGAGAGGACAUGUCUGUGGCUGGGCUAUGCAAACUCUCUUAUUAACCCUUUUAUAUAUGCCUUCUUCAACCGGGACCUGAGGACCACCUACCGCAGCCUACUCCAGUGUCAGUACCGGAAUAUCAACCGGAAGCUCUCUGCCGCAGGCAUGCACGAGGCCCUGAAACUUGCUGAGAGGCCCGAGAGAGCCGAGUUUGUGCUGUAAGGUCAUUUAUCAUUACCAUCCAUUCACCCCCUGCCCCCUUUCAUGACGCGUCUUGAAUGUUGGAUAAAGCCUCCUGCAUCAGUGGCUAGCUUAUCUAUUUUUCACCAGACAUCUGGUGUGAAUUCAGAAUACUUUCAUUCACGUAGCAUAAGGCUCAAGAGACAUCCAAGCAGGUAGGUAUUUGAAUGGGAAGAGGAGACUGGUCUGCUGAUGGAGUUGAAUUCAUGUGACUGGUGAUACGGAAGCAUAACCAGAGCCUCAGGAGUCCAGCAGGCACUCGAGAAUUUUCCCUGGGGUAACGGAGUGAACACAGGGAUAAAAGCUGUGAAUACUGUUGCACUGACAAAACUCUGAC